rnacentral:lncRNA from 1 species
AAUCAGGCGAGAACCGAUAGAAAAUUGAACGAUCCUUCGAGCAACAUUUGACAUGCGCCUAAAAAAAAUAUCAAAUCCUAGAAAUCAUCCAAACUAAAAUACAGAAACAAAAAAAAUACGAACCUUUCUUUGCUACAUGACGAAAAAAAAACAUAGAGCACCAAAAGAGAUUUAAACCGCCCAAAAAAAAUUUACCUAAUCACCCUAUAAACUGGAAACGAAGACCAACAAGCAAGAUCUCGCUGUCUGCCAAGGAAAAAAAGAAGAAGAGACGACAUAUGAAAAAAAGGGGGAAAAUAACCGAAAAAACAAAUAAUAAAAGUACCUCUCUUCGGUGGGAAGACGAAAACUAUCAACAAAUUAAGAUUCCACAGGUGAUAAUCGAUAGAAACUUGAAAGAAAAUAAGAUCUAAGACUUUGCACAAUUCGAAAGUUUUAAGCUAGGGUUUCAGCUACUUUCGUUUUAUAUGGUAGACAAAACGACAUCGUUUCGUGCCAAGGAAAUGCAUAUAAUAAUGUUGUGUCAAGG